UGUGGCUAGAGACCCGGACACCGGGUAUCUAAUACGUACCCGGACACUGUUUUGCGCAUGCGCGGGGACUUAAUAUUUUCGCCACGAUGUUAUCACUGUUAUCAGUUGUUAUCAAAUCCUGCGUAAAUUAAUUACAACUUAGGUGUACGAAUUAUACGAUUUAUAAAUAAUCACAUUGACACAUUAUAGUCUAUAGAACAUAAUGGAAAUAAUAGGAAGAAAAACAAGACUAUUACAAGUGUUAAAUAAUUGAAGCGAAGAAGUCCAAUUGUUGUCUUUGUAAUUCCUUUGGGAUGUCCAGAUAUCUUCAUUUUUGAAGGCAGUUUAAUGGACUUUAAAUCUGCUAUAGACAUAUAUCAACAAUGUUCUCUAAGGUAUCUGAGUUAUUGUCUACUUGCAUACUGCACGCAUUGUCUACAUAUUCUAUCUCUUCAAUCAAAUCUAAUCAUUAAAAAUAUGACAGCAAGGUAAUGUCAGAGCUAUA